UCCCUGAUGGCUGAGAUGAUAAAGAAUCUGCCUGAAAUGCUGGAGACCUAGGUUCAAUCCCUGGGUUGGGAA
rnacentral:tRNA from 1 species